CCUACGGGUGGCAGCAGUGGGGAAUAUUGCACAAUGGGCGAAAGCCUGAUGCAGCGAAGCCGCGUGAAGGAUGAAGUACUUCGGUAUGUAAAGCUCUAUCAGCAGGGAAGAAAAUGACGGUACGUGAGUAAGAAGCCACGGAUAACUACGUGCCAGCAGCCGCGGUAAUACGGAGGGGGCAAGCGUUAUCCGGAUUUACUGGGUGUAAAGGGAGCGUAGAGGGGGUUUCAAGUCAGUAGUGAAAGUCGGGGGCUCAACCCCCGGAAUGCAAUUGAAACUGGAUGGCUUGAGUGCAGGAGAGGUAAGUGGAAUUCGUAGUGUAGCGGUGAAAUGCGUAGAUAUUAGGAGGAACACCAGUUGCGAAGGCGGCUUACUAGACUGUGACUGACGUUGAGGCUCGAAAGUGUGGGUAGCAAACAGGAUUAGAUACCCCAGUAGUC
rnacentral:rRNA from 1 species